UACAGAGGGGGCAAGCGUUGUUCGGAAUUACGGGGCGUAAAGGGCGCGUAGGCGGCUGUUCAAGUCGAACGUGAAAACUCGGAGCUCAACUCCGAGCCUGCGUUCGAUACUGGACGGCUAGAGUCUGGUAGGGGGAUCUGGAAUUCCUGGUGUAGCGGUGGAAUGCGCAGAUAUCAGGAGGAACACCGGUGGCGAAGGCGGGAUCCUGGGCCAGUACUGACGCUGAGGAGCGAAAGCGUGGGGAGCAAACAGG
rnacentral:rRNA from 1 species